GCGGUAACAUUUCUAGCUUGCUAGAAGAUGACGAGCGGCGGACGGGUGAGUAAUACUUAGGAAUCUACCUAGUAGUGGGGGAUAGCUCGGGGAAACUCGAAUUAAUACCGCAUACGACCUACGGGAGAAAGGGGGCAACUUGUUGCUCUCGCUAUUAGAUGAGCCUAAGUCGGAUUAGCUAGAUGGUGGGGUAAAGGCCUACCAUGGCGACGAUCUGUAGCUGGUCUGAGAGGAUGAUCAGCCACACCGGGACUGAGACACGGCCCGGACUCCUACGGGAGGCAGCAGUGGGGAAUAUUGGACAAUGGGGGAAACCCUGAUCCAGCCAUGCCGCGUGUGUGAAGAAGGCCUUUUGGUUGUAAAGCACUUUAAGCAGUGAAGAAGACUCUUCGGUUAAUACCCGGAGACGAUGACAUUAGCUGCAGAAUAAGCACCGGCUAACUCUGUGCCAGCAGCCGCGGUAAUACAGAGGGUGCAAGCGUUAAUCGGAAUUACUGGGCGUAAAGCGAGCGUAGGUGGCUUGAUAAGUCAGAUGUGAAAUCCCCGGGCUUAACCUGGGAACUGCAUCUGAUACUGUCAGGCUAGAGUAGGUGAGAGGAAGGUAGAAUUCCAGGUGUAGCGGUGAAAUGCGUAGA
rnacentral:rRNA from 1 species